UGUCAUUUUAAUCGUCGAGAUGUACAGAACUAUAACUAUAACCGUCAUUCUUUUGGCCAACAUUUUUGUUUCGAGUCAACUGCUAGAGGGCACCACUGAGCAAGCAACAACAGCAAAUGUUACUAUCUCGUGUGUUACGGGGAUGGGUGACAGUGGAACUUGCGUUAGUCGCGAACAUUGCGACUAUGGCACGAGAGCCAUAGACUAUACUUUGUACGCACGGUCCUCAUUUAAAAGUGCUUGCCCAAGGGAUCAGACUUGCUGUCCAGAAUCGUCCCUGAUUCCAACCAACGAAACAGCAACAAUUUAAAGUUUUAUAGAGACCAAACCGUGGAAAUUAUUGUACAUUCGACUUAUUAUAAUGAUCUUUACAAA